CCUACGGGUGGCAGCAGUGAGGAAUAUUGGUCAAUGGGCGCGAGCCUGAACCAGCCAAGUAGCGUGAAGGAUGACGGCCCUACGGGUUGUAAACUUCUUUUAUAAAGGAAUAAAGUGAGGCACGUGUGCCUUUUUGUAUGUACUGUAUGAAUAAGGAUAGGCUAACUCCGUGCCAGCAGCCGCGGUAAUACGGAGGAGCCGAGCGUUAUCCGGAUUUAUUGGGUUUAAAGGGAGCGUAGAUGGGUUGUUAAGUCAGUUUUGAAAGUUUGCGGCUCACCCGUAAAAUUGCAAUUGAUACUGGCAGUCUUGCGUACAGUUGAGGUCGGCGGAAUUC
rnacentral:rRNA from 1 species